CAUCCUCCAAGGCUAAAUACUCCUGACUGACCGAUAGUGAACCAGUACCGUGAGGGAAAGGCGAAAAGAACCCCGGCGAGGGGAGUGAAAAAGAACCUGAAACCGUGUACGUACAAGCAGUGGGAGCCCCACCACCAAAGCAUUUGCUGUACCGCGUUGACGGAGCGAAGCGACGUCAAACCGAUAAAACAGCAGUGUAAAGUGAGCCGCAGGGCGCUUUGCGCGACAGCGCAAAGGCAGGCGGUUUCGCGUAGCGAAAGCGAAUGCUUUGGGGUGGGGUGACUGCGUACCUUUUGUAUAAUGGGUCAGCGACUUAUAUUCUGUAGCAAGGUUAACCGAAUAGGGGAGCCGGAGGGAAACCGAGUCUUAAUUGGGCGUUAAGUUGCAGGGUAUAGACCCGAAACCCGGUGAUCUAGCCAUGGGCAGGUUGAAGGGUGGGUAACACUAACUGGAGGACCGAACCGACUAAUGUUGAAAAAUUAGCGGAUGACCUGUGGCUGGGGGUGAAAGGCCAAUCAAACCGGGAGAUAGCUGGUUCUCCCCGAAAGCUAUUUAGGUAGCG
rnacentral:rRNA from 1 species